CCACACCAAACCUCACCCCAUUUCACAUGACCACAGACCACCGCCACCGCCACCGUCUCAGACGGCAACGACCACUGCCGCAGAUUGCCGCCGCCACCGCCACCGCCACCUCUGCAGAUCGCCAUCGCCAUUGCUGCAGAGCACAGGGUUUGCAAACUUGUUUGGUGGCUCUCUUCAGCGUGCUUUAUUCAGCAUUUGUUUAUACUGAAUCAUGCCUGUAAAGCCAGGGACUCCAAUCUCAAAGUUCAUUUUAAGGCAGUUGAUGUAAAGUCUGAACUUGUUUGCAUCCAUGAUUCUGCUAGACCUCUGGUGACCACUGGAGAUGUCAAAAAGGUUUGCUGUCGGGAACUUUGUUCUACACAUCUAGUGCUUUGAAUGAAGUUGUUCUCAGAAAUUAUUUAUUUGAAAAGCAAAGUUUCUCUCCUCAUAAUGUUUUCUCAUAUUAUAGUGCUUUUGUUUGUUCCUUUAGCUUUAUUUUUUGUUCUUGUAUUUUUACUACAUAAUUAAUUGAAGUUCUGUUAAGAAAGAUAAGGGAUCUGAAAUGCUUUUUCUUGUUUUUGAUUUUCUGAGUGCACUGGAUAUGAUUGUCUGGUUUACUUUGUGGAUGAAUGUGUUUGGAGGAUAUUUUGUCAUUAUUGGCCAUACUUUUUCUUCUAUAUAUAUAUUUUGUUUUUCUCCAAAUAUGUUUUUGAUUUGAGCAAGUUGUCACUGUUUUACCAAUAUUUGAAUCAACUACUCAGAUUAGUCAACCUGAAGCUUUACUGGUACUUUCAAAUAAACAUUCACACCAUACAAAUACACACCCUUCUGAUACUGAAUGGGAAUUUUGAAUUAAUUUCUAUCAUUGCCUUGUAUCUUAGGUUCUUUCUCCAGUUCAUUCUAUUUUUAGCUCUACACUUAGCAGCUACAUCCAUGUUUCAUUUUGUGGCAUUUGUCUUCCGCACCGCAGUUGCUUCUACAACAGCUGGUAGUUUGUUUGUAUAGUUUGUCUUAUUUUUUAGUGGCUUCAUCAUCCCAAAAUGUAAGAUUUCGAUCACUCUUCCAAUUUGAUUUUUAGAUGAUUAUUUAAGAAGAUGAACUUAAGCUAAGCUAUCUUGUUGCUUGCAGCCUCUAUGCCAACAUAGUUGAAGUGGGGAUUUCGGGUUGCCCCGUUGACAUAUGGCGAGGUUGGACUUGCUUUGAAUGAAUUUCUAGCUCAAUAGUGUAAGCUUGACUCAGAAAAUGAUACAUUAAUGUGACAAGCUUCAAGGCCUACCAACCUCCUGAUUUGAAGAGUUUGGAAUAUUGAGUCUUUUCGUCUAUUGCAUUACAUUACUGUUACAUUUUGUUUCUUUUUCAAUAAGCAGGACAUUUUUUACAUUUGUUUCUAGAGAACAUCCACCACUUAAAAAUGAUCUUUUAAUCUAAUUCCAUAUUUUUUAUUCAAUGUAGAUUAAUUAAGUCUAAUGCCUCCUUUACAUUGUAGUUAAUUCUGUUGAAAGCCAGCGGACAGGUUAUUUACUCUGGACCAUUGGGUCAGCAUUCAAGCAGUGUCAUAGAAUAUUUUGAGGUUACCUCAGGGGUGCAAAAGAUCAGAAAUAAUUACAAUCCAGCAACAUGGAUGUUAGAGAUCACUUCUAGAUCAGCAGAAGCUCAACUUUGCAUUGAUUUCGCGCAAGUUUAUAAGAACUGUGUCUUGUAUCAAAAUAGCCAACAGAGUGUCUUCAAUCCACUUUGUUCAAUAUUCUCUGCUACGAUCUUCUUGGGCAUAAAUAAUUCCUCAUCAGUUUUACCAUAUGCCACAACGCAGCGAUCUAGAUGUAUGGUUCGUGGGCUUAUGCACUUGCUCAGGUCAUGGUUGAGGUUCUAUAUCUCCUAGUCCACGUGAUUGCAUUUGUGAUCAUUGCAUAUCCAAUGAUUGGGUAUUAUUGGUCAGCUUGUAAGGUUUUUUGGUACUUUUAUGCCAUGUUUUGUACAUUUCUUUACUUCACUUAUCUUGGAAUGCUGUUUGUUACAUUGACACUGACCUUUCCAGUGGCUGCAAUUUUACAAUCAGCCUUCUACACAAUGUUGAGCCUGUUCUCUGGUAUCUGAUUCCUCAACUGGUUUUUUAUUACUUGGGUGAACUCAAUGACUCUUUAUCGUAUGCUCUGGGAGCUGGUCCUCUGUUUGAUGUUUCUAAGGAUUCAGAUUACAUUCAUACCCUUCUUGCUAAAGCAAUUGAUGAAUAUGCCAGUCUCAAGUCAAAGGUGGCAGAGUCAAAUGAUGAAAACAAAAUGGACCCUCAGUUGGAGGCAAUCGUUGAGAGAAUGUUGGAUAAUGUUCUGCCCUAUAGAAAACCAGAGACAGGCUUUGUUACUGUGACCUUCCUAAAUAUAUGGGCCUUCCAGCUCAGUAUUCCCCUUCUAACUCAGCAUUCUUACCUUUUUUCGGUUCGCAAAUUUGAUUAGAACGGCGGCCAUGAACUAUUUAUUGGAUUCAGGAGUUCAAUGGGGGGGAGCACCUGCAGUCAAGGGUGUGCGAGAUGCUGCUGUAGAGUUACUGCCUACACUGGUAGCUGUGCAUGCAGAGCUAAAACUACCCUAUCAAAUUGUGGCUAUUGUUUCCGGUGCUUUGAAUGAUGCAACUGCAAAGAAGUAUGAUUUGGAAGGAUGGUUUCCUGCAUCCAGCACUUACAGAGAACUUGUUUCCUGUUCAAACUGCACUGACUGUCAGUCCAGGAGAUUAGAGAUUCGAUAUGGGCAGAAAAAGGGUAGACUAAUAGUUAUAUUUUUGGAUGGGUGUGUAUAGAAAAUAUUUGGUAGACUACUAGUUAUAUUUUUCGGUUGAUGUACAUGGAUAAAAAUUUUAAACAUAAUAACAAGUAUUU